GCCUUGGUAGUUCAGUUUGUAGUGCAGGAGAUUCUUAAUCUCAGCGUUGUGGGUUCAAGCCCCAUAUUGAGCA